rnacentral:ncRNA from 1 species
CGCCGCGGCACUCCAUUUUAUUACAAUGCCCCGGCGUACAUAAGAUAAGGAGGAUUCAUAUCCGCGUGCCGGCGGUGCGUCAGUGUGGAGACCUGGCGUAAUGCCGCGCUCUCCUCAGCGGGAGGCGGCGAGGCGCGUCAUUGCGGAGGCAGGCGCGUUACGGCAA